rnacentral:lncRNA from 1 species
GGAAGAAUUUUCUUAGAACCAAAAGGCAUGGAAUUGAUGACAUGAAACUGCCUGAGCUUCUCAGCUGACCUGUGAUGGAGUGUUGUGCCCAAGUGGAAAGUUCUUCUUUCUUUCAGAGACAUAUCAUUCACCAUAAAAUACAACCAGAGACUUCAAAAUUACUCCAGGCUAGAAGGACACUCCAAUUAGGGGAAAAGUAACCUAUGGGCAAACCAUCUUCCGUAAGAGUUCAAGGACAAAAAACUACUGAUGUUGUAAUAACAUUGAAACUUAAUGUUUUGGGCAAUCCUUAAGUGAUUUAUUUGGAGUGUCCCAGUCAUUUUAGACCUCUUCACCUUACAAUGUAUUGUGUGAGAUUAUAUUUCCAUGCACCUAAUUUUAAAAUAAAUUUAUUUAGGUAGAUGUAGAGACAUAUUACUGUGAUAAAGCAGUUCAUACCAAAUAAAAUUUAGCUAA